rnacentral:lncRNA from 1 species
UUCUUCGGUGCCCUUUCUUCCUUUGGGAAGAAAGGCCCCGGGCUAUGGUCCUCAGAUUUCAGCUCAGAAUAAACUCACCCAAAUUUUCAUUUACAGAUUGGUUAUGGAUUAUUUUCGUCAACAGUUCUUGGCGUAGUCGCGGCAGGAUUUCAGAGAAACCCACCGGAGGCCACCUGGAAUCUACACUGAACUGGCAUUCAGUACCAAUAAGGGCCCAUUGAGCCCCCCGGAUCACUGCAUUCUUCAGGUGACCCUGCCUGACUUCCCUUGGUCACAGCAACACCCACGUCUGUGCGCACACACCCCCGCCCCCACAUUAGCUGCCGCAAACACCUUUUCGGUAUUGUCUUUUCCCUUGUGCGUGGCUUGCUCUUGAUUCGCCAGUGAGUCUGCGUUGUACUUCGAACAAAUAUCCUCACGAAGCAAGAACACGGCAAGUGGGUGUCGCUAGAGCGCAGGAGACAGUUUCUGUGACCCCGGGUGACGGAGGAGGCUGAGAGUUGCAGAGGAAGGCUCCGGCUGUGCAGACAUGGGAAGCCCACGACGACCCUCAGCAGUCUGGCCCAGGCCACCUUGAGCAACCCCACCUCCAGAGCCCCCGCCACGACCUACCCCAUGGGCGAAUUCUCUACUGUUGCUGCUGGGAGCAUAGGAUGCUGAGCUGGAAUACCAGGGAAAUUACUGAGGCAAUUAAAAUUGGAAAUUGGGGUUUAUUGAGAGAAUUCUCUUCCAGAUUAAACGGCACUGACUUUGUUAACAUUGGCGGCAACAUUCGCCAAGACCUCCCCCCUUCUAAAAUUCCUUUCAUCCAGAGUCUCGAUAGUGGAAGGAAAGAGCAGUCCAACAGACCAUCUAAGAAAAUCUGCUGUGGGUCAGAUAAAAGUGCGAAGCUCCCUGACGCCGAGUGGAGAGACGAGGGAAGAGAGAGACAGGGCUGUGGGGGAGCUGCGCACACCCAGCUGCAUGGUCCUGAGCAGGAAUGCACAAUUGCUGCCUGUUCAGAAACGCAAUUCACUGUGACAAAGCUGUCAGGCAACCAUUCUGAGGCCUUUAGAACGAUUGGACUUCCAUAAAGCUCUGCCACAUGUACACUCCCCACAAUCGAUCCCACUUAUCCAGAGCGGCUGUCCUGAUGGCCAUUUGACCGGCCUGAACUCCUAGAGAAGGCGCCUGGCAGUAACACUCUAGAUUUAGGUUUGCACUUUGUCAGUGUUGACUGUGUUGAUUUAUUAAACAAAAUUUUUAAAAGACUAAAACUGUGGAUUUUUCUAAAGUGGAGAUUUGGCAGUUAGCUAUUGAAUUCACGUGAACAACCAAACUGGAUAAUUCUCCUAAAUUUUAUCCCCUCCAGGGCACAAAAUUUGAGUCAAAUAAUCAAGGAGUCUAUAUCGGGCAUCUGCUGGGGGUCAAGGGUGAAUUUGAUUAUUUACACUGACUUCAACAUAUGAGAAUAACCGCGAAGCUGGGGUGCAGGCGAGAGGAGUUGUUGCUAUCAGGAUUACGAUGACAUUGUAGCGGAUGCUGUUGGUUCUUAUCUGUUACCCCCUCUUCUCCCUCACAGAAGUCCCUCCCCAGCUUUAGGGAUGAUCUUUUUUAGCGCUCCAGUAUGGUAAUUCCAACUCCCUUGCCAGGAAUGGGUUUGGGAUCUCAGCCCACCAGUGCGUGGCCUUGAUCUGGGUCUGAUAUCGAUUGCGAGCUGGCACACGAUCCCAUCGUCCUGAUGGGAAAGACUUUUGUUCCAUGGUGGGGGGUGGGGUGGGAGGUGCCUCUCUCCAGCUGAAUGUGACCAAGUCAGCCUGUGGUCCCAGUUGCUGAGGAGGGAAGCCCGCCUGAGGACAAGACCAGCAGGUGAAGCAGAACUAGGAAUUCAAGGGAAACUGAGCCAGGGCCCUGCCUGGACCAUACCCGGACCAUACCUGGACC